UACGGGGGGGGCAAGCGUUGUUCGGAAUUACUGGGCGUAAAGGGCGCGUAGGCGGCUUUUCAAGUCGGGCGUGAAAUCUCCGGGCUUAACUCGGAAAGGUCAACUGAUACUGUGCGACUAGAGUGCGGAAGGGGCAACUGGAAUUCUUAGUGUAGCGGUGAAAUGCGUAGAUAUCAAGAGGAACACCUGCGGCGAAGGCGGGUUGCUGGGCCGACACUGACGCUGAGGCGCGAAAGCCAGGGGAGCGAACGGG
rnacentral:rRNA from 1 species